rnacentral:rRNA from 1 species
GACGAACGCUGGCGGCGUGCUUAACACAUGCAAGUCGAACGGAAAGGCCCUGCUUUUGUGGGGUGCUCGAGUGGCGAACGGGUGAGUAACACGUGAGUAACCUGCCCUUGACUUUGGGAUAACUUCAGGAAACUGGGGCCAAUACCGGAUAGGAGCUCCUGCUGCAUGGUGGGGGUUGGAAAGUUUCGGCGGUUGGGGAUGGACUCGCGGCUUAUCAGCUUGUUGGUGGGGUAGUGGCGUACCAAGGCUUUGACGGGUAGCCGGCCUGAGAGGGUGACCGGCCACAUUGGGACUGAGAUACGGCCCAGACUCCUACGGGAGGCAGCAGUGGGGAAUAUUGCACAAUGGGCGGAAGCCUGAUGCAGCAACGCCGCGUGCGGGAUGACGGCCUUCGGGUUGUAAACCGCUUUCGCCUGUGACGAAGCGUGAGUGACGGUAAUGGGUAAAGAAGCACCGGCUAACUACGUG